CGGCGCGAAAGGCUGUACCAUUCCCACACCGAGGCUUUGCGUCCCUCGCAGUUCACACGAACGGAUUUCCGAGCCAGCAUGUUCUCGUUUCACCGGCAAGACUGAUCUUAGCCGAGCCGAGCCGAGCCAACCCUAAGGAAGUGUUUUCUAUGUCGCUGCGCCGCCGCCGCGCCCCAGCGCGCGAAUGGUCUGGACCAACGUCACCUCCGGUCUCAAGUGUCAUGGCUGCCUUGAGAGUCUAGUGAGUGUGCACCCUGGUGGGGAAGGUCCAAAGCCCGCACGCUGAGGCCCAGUAGAAGAAAGUUGCAUCUUGAUUGUGGAGCGACAGCUUCUCCGGUGCCUCGGCCAUGGCAGCUUCCGGGAGUGGUAUGGCCCAGAAAACCUGGGAAUUGGCCAACAACAUGCAGGAAGCGCAGAGUAUCGAUGAAAUCUACAAAUAUGACAAAAAACAACAACAAGAAAUCCUGGCGGCGAAACCCUGGACUAAGGAGUGAGGAGUCACCACUACUUUAAAUACUGCAAAAUCUCAGCAUUGGCUCUACUGAAAAUGGUGAUGCAUGCCAGGUCAGGAGGCAACUUGGAAGUGAUGGGUUUGAUGCUCGGGAAAGUCGACGGCGAGACCAUGAUCAUCAUGGACAGUUUCGCUUUGCCUGUAGAGGGCACAGAAACUCGAGUAAAUGCUCAAGCUGCUGCGUAUGAGUAUAUGGCUGCAUACAUAGAAAAUGCCAAACAGGUUGGCCGCCUUGAGAAUGCAAUCGGUUGGUAUCAUAGCCACCCUGGUUAUGGCUGCUGGCUCUCCGGGAUUGAUGUUAGUACACAGAUGCUGAACCAGCAGUUUCAAGAACCAUUUGUAGCAGUGGUGAUUGAUCCAACCAGAACAAUCUCUGCAGGAAAAGUGAAUCUUGGCGCCUUUAGGACAUAUCCAAAGGGCUACAAACCUCCUGAUGAAGGACCUUCUGAGUACCAGACUAUCCCACUUAAUAAAAUAGAAGAUUUUGGCGUGCACUGCAAACAAUAUUAUGCCUUAGAAGUCUCAUAUUUCAAAUCAUCUUUGGAUCGUAAACUACUUGAGCUUUUGUGGAAUAAAUACUGGGUGAAUACCCUGAGUUCCUCUAGCUUGCUUACUAAUGCAGACUACACCACAGGCCAGGUGUUUGAUUUGUCUGAGAAGUUAGAGCAGUCGGAAGCCCAACUGGGACGUGGCAGUUUCAUGUUGGGCUUAGAAACACAUGACCGCAAGUCGGAAGACAAACUUGCCAAAGCUACUAGAGACAGCUGUAAAACCACCAUAGAAGCCAUCCAUGGACUGAUGUCUCAGGUUAUUAAGGAUAAACUGUUUAAUCAGAUUAACGUUGCUUAGUUACCACCAAGUACUUCUCAAAGCUGGUGUGUGGAAGGAAAAGAAGCUCAAGUAACACUUUUAACCCAGUUACCAAAACUCAGAUUAGAAGACUAAGGUGCUGUGUGGUGUCCUGAGUAUUAGCACUGUAAUAAAACUAUCACGUGAAAUUGUCCUUCUGUGGUUUUGUAGUUGGGGUUGCUUUUGGUGCUCUUGUUUAUGGGAGGAAAAAGACUCACUAGAUCUAUUGUGUUCAAAUCCUGCCUAUCAAAGUAAUCAAAGGAUCUUAGCAUUUAAUCACACCAUGGUCACAAACUUGUCAGUUUUUCUUGUGCCUUCUCUUGACAGUCUAUUAGUAAAAAUGUAAUUCAACUUCAAAUAAAAUAGCAUCUGACUUCAG